AGAGAGAGACAUGCGCGCAUAUCAAUAAGCGGAGGAAAAGAAACUAACAAGGAUUCCCUUAGUAACAGCGAGUGAAGCGGGAAGAGCUCAAAUUUGAAAUCUUCAAGGUUUUACCUUGACGAAUUGUAGUUUAAAGAAGUGUUUUCUGCUGAAGUUUUGGUAAAAGUUCUUUGGAAUAGGACAUCAUAGAGGGUGAGAAUCCCGUAUUUGACCAUUAUUUUCAGCUUUGUGAUACACUUUCAAAGAGUCGGAUUGUUUGGGAAUGCAGUCCAAAAUGGGUGGUAAAUUUCAUCUAAAGCUAAAUAUUGGCGAGAGACCGAUAGCGAACAAGUACCGUGAGGGAAAGAUGAAAAGAACUUUGAAAAGAGAGUUAAACAGUACGUGAAAUUGUCAAAAGGGAAGCGUUUGACACCAGUGUUGUUUUCUCGAAAAUCAAUUAAAAAUGGCUCGAUUUUGUAUUGCUUGAGACCUUAAAAGCUCACUGUACAUUUUUCGUGUCUUUUUUAAUGCACUCUUCGUUUAACAAGUCAACAUCAGUUUCUUUUGUUGUAAAAGGGUCAUUGGAAGGUGGCUUUCUUUUCGGAGAAAGUGUUUAUAGCCUUUGGCCUCUGCAAUCGAAGAGACUGAGGUCUGCAGCGUAGACUCUUCGGGGUUAGAUACAUUUGUGCUAAGUUAUAGCUUUUUAUAGACAACUUGUUGACUAUAAUUAAUCUUGUAGCUUACUCGCUUAUGCUAUUUUACCUACGCUUAGGAUGUUGAAGUCAUCGUAUCGCGC
rnacentral:rRNA from 1 species